ensembl:lncRNA
AUGCUUCAGGUGGACCCUGGCAGUUUGGACGCAGACCAACGUGUACAGCUGACCAGCACAAUGGCUGACUAUCUGCGAAUGGCUCCUGGCUCCGUCCACCUCCUCUCGUUGAGGGGCCCCAUUGCACUGCAGAGAGAGAAAACCAGGGUGUGCAGGCAGGAUCCCCAGACUGCUGACACUACCCAGGGAAAGGGGCAAGGGACCUUGGGAAGAGGGCAGGCUGCCGAGCUCUUGUGGCCGGUCGGUUGUGGGGUGGGGGAGCAGUUAUCAGACUUAGCCCGGAUUUUGGAGCAUAGCACUGCCUCAGGUCGGCUGACCACCAUGUUGGGAGUCCCCAUACUAGGGUGGAGGGUUCUCUGCAAGGGGUUGCUUCCUAGGAUCAGGAGGGGCCUGCAACCUCUGCAUCAUACAGCCACCCCAACUGUAGUUCUCCCACCACCAACACAGGUGCCAGAGUCAGUCAGACUGAAGCUUUCACACAUACCUGCUCCAGAGCCUUCUACUAGUUUGAUGAUGUCAUACCCCACAGGCAUCCUGGAGAGACACACUGGGGCCCCAAACCUAGAACUAACACAGGCCUCAAGUUACCCUCUAACAUCAUCUGUUGCUUGUGAGGGUGUUUUGCAAUCACCACCAUCUGGCACGAGAGACAAUUUGUUGUCCAUGCCUCUCAAACCAACCCUACUCCCCCCAGAGUGUUUAACACAAUCACUGAAGAGGCAUACAUUUCACACGGCCACCAAAACUGAGAUGGUAUCAACUGUUAGUACGUCCAGAGAAUCAAUCCACUCACAGCUAAUCGCGACAUCUUCAACUAAAUGUUUUCCAACACAGCAAACAUACACAUUCCCAUUCAGAGAACACAGACACGUUUCCAUGGACACACACACCCAUAGCGUAACAACAUUUGCCUCAGCUCUUCACAACACUGUCUAUUUAGCCUUUAUAAGCAGGAGCCCAACUUUGUUGUCAGUGUAUGAUUCUAGUGGAAGAACAAUGAACCCAUCGACUUCACAAAGUACACCAACCAUAAACCUGGUAGGCCAGAGCACCAUCAGUCAAAGAUAUCUACCACUGACACUAGUCCAAACUGCACCACCAUGGACAAAAGAGCACAGUAGACGUACAUCUAUAAUGGAGCCCUCCCAGCUAACAUUAGACCCACCUGGAGACACAAGAGCACAGCUAAGCCAAUCUGCACAGAAGACUAUGGUGAAGAGGACCACUAUGGGGAAACUAGUGGGACCAGACUCUGUGCUUACUUCAAUAAACCUGGAGCAUCCAGAGAGGACUGACCCCAUUUAUACAUACUCCCACUUGAGCGCCGUUGUUCCAGCUUCUCACUUGUCUUUGCUUAGUGCUGUGGGAGUGUCAAAACAGUCCUCCAUUAUUUUGUCUAUGAAAAGUAUAUCGGCGUCCCAAAGUAUCUACUCUAUGACGUUACUUGAGACCCCUUGGCCUGCUCCAAUAUUAUUGGAAACCCUUCGCCUCCACAGUAUUUACCCUUCAUUAGUAUCAGAGACCCCUAGACUUGAAAGCAUUCUCUCUACAGGGUUACUGGACAACAUCACUAAACAAUCAAAGGGCACUCCUCAAUCUCCAUGCCCCCUUUCAAAGGGCCAUGGAUCCCUGACUGCAUCAAGGCUAGCUGAGGAUACUGGCCCAGCUCUUCUACCCACCUCUACUUUGGAAGGCGGGCAGUCAAAGUAUAGCCUAGACUUGUUUGGUAAGUCUUAUUCUUCCAUCUGUGACUUACUUACUCUCCAACCCUCCUCAUUGACUUGCCCUUUACGAUCUGAGAGGAUUUGGACAAGUGUGCGUAUGUAG